AUUGAACGCUGGCGGCAUGCUUUACACAUGCAAGUCGAAUGGUAACAGGUUAAGCUGACGAGUGGCGAACGGGUGAGUAAUGCAUCGGAACGUGCCCGGUCGUGGGGGAUAACGCAGCGAAAGUUGCGCUAAUACCGCAUACGAUCUGAGGAUGAAGGCGGGGGACCGUAAGGCCUCGCGCGAUCGGAGCGGCCGAUGUCAGAUUAGGUAGUUGGUGGGGUAAAGGCUCACCAAGCCAACGAUCUGUAGCUGGUGUGAGAGGACGAACAGCCACACUGGGACUGAGACACGGCACAGACUCAUACGGAAGGCAGCAGUGGGGAAUUUUGGACAAUGGGCGAAAGCCUGAUCCAGCAAUGCCGCGUGCAGGAAGAAGGCCUUCGGGUUGUAAACUGCUUUUGUACGGAGCGAAAAGGUCUCCUCUAAUACAGGGGGCUCAUGACGGUACCGUAAGAAUAAGCACCGGCUAACUACGUGCCAGCCGCCGCGGUAA
rnacentral:rRNA from 1 species